GGGCAGUUCUAGGUCGGCUUCCUGUCCCGGGGUAAGCUUACGUUUAACAUGGUCCUCUAGGUACGUGGCUUUCCACUCCUGGUGUCUUGCCGCCGGACCUGUUCGGAUCUGCACCUGGUUGUAGAGCGUCGUGUAGUAAUCCCGGAACGCUUGUAAAAUACCCUCAGGGAGUCGUGUAACGCCCCCUCUGGUCGUGUGGAUGUGUUGUGUUCUCAGUUUCUCCCUGAGCAUCCUUGCGAGCAGUCUGCCACUUAUCAGCGUGUUCAUAGUAAUACCUGGAUGUUUUCCUUGCGGUAUGGAGUAUGCCUUGGGACAAUAUAUCCCUG